rnacentral:rRNA from 1 species
UACGUAGGGUGCAAGCGUUGUCCGGAAUUAUUGGGCGUAAAAGAGCUCGUAGGCGGGUUUGUCGCGUCUGCUGUGAAAACUCAGGGCUUAACUCUGAGCUUGCAGUGGGUACGGGCAGACUAGAGUGCGGUAGGGGGAGACUGGAAUUCCGUGGUGUAGCGGUGAAAUGACGCAGAUAUCAGGAGGAAACACCGGUGGCGAAAGGCGGGUCUC